rnacentral:lncRNA from 1 species
GUUUUGCUAUGUUGGUCAGGCUGGUCUCGAACUCCUGAUCUUAAAUGAUCUGCCCCCCUUGACCUCCCAAAGUGCUGGGAUUACAGUUGUGAGCUACUGUGCCUGGCCAUUAGGCCCCUGUGAUUUCAUCUUUGACCCAACCAAACAGCUUUCCCCACUUCCUAACCGCCUACCCACCAAAUUAUCCUUAAAAAUCCCAAUUCUUGCAUUUUGGGGGAUACUGACUUGAGUAAUAAUAAAACUCCAGCCAGCUCUGUGUGAAUUAAACACUUUCUCUAUUACAAUUCCCCUGUCUUGAUAAAUUGGCUGUGUUUAGGCACAGGCAAGGAGAACCCGUUGAGCAGUUACACAUUUUCCACAUGGCAGACAGUGUGGCCUUCUUAAAAUGUCAGUCAUUGGCCAGGUGUGGUCACUCACAACUGUAAGCCCAGCACUUUGGGAGGGCAAGGUGGGUGGAUCACUUGAGCCCAGGAGUUCGACACCAGCUUGAGCAACAUAGGGAGACCCCGUCUCUACAAAAAAUACAAAAGUUCGUUGGUCGUGGUGGCCCGCACAUGUAAGUCCCAGCUAUUCAAGAGGCUGAGUUGGGAGGAUCACUUGAUCCUGAAACACAGAGGUUGCAGUGAACCGAGAUUGCUCCACUGCACUCCAGCCUGGGCAAUAGAGUGAGACCCUGUCUCUAUAAAAAAUAAUAAAAUGUUAAUUACUUUUUGAACAUGGAAUGUUCCUGCUCGGAGCCUCUCAGGGCUCCUUAUUGCGCUUGGAACACCAGUGCCUCACCAUGCUCUCCAGAGCCCUGUCUGGGCAGGUUGCUGUCCCCACCUCAGACUCACUUUGUCUCACCUGGCCACCGUCUCACUGCUCUUGCCACAUUGGUCUUCUGUCUCCCAAACAUGCCCUGCUCAGACCCACCCCAGUGCUCUUGCUGCUCUUUGCUUUGAAUGAGGGUCCUUCCCAUGGCUGCGUUUCCUCAUCAUUCCAAGGCGAGGCCUUCGUUGACUACUCCAAUAAAUAAUUCCUCCCUGACCCCACCCAACAAGUCAUUCUUUGUCCUUACUGGCUUGUAUUGUUGUCACAGUAAACUUAUAUCUGAGAUUACGUUAUUUACUCAUUGUUUACCUGUUCCCCUCCAGAAUGAACCCCUGGCAGCUGGACUGUGUCUGUCCUGUUUGCUGUUCCAUAUGUGAUUCCUAGCCCAGGGCCUGGACUCUAUAAGGAUUUGCUGAAUGCAUGAGUUCUUACAAUGAGAGAGAGGCCCUGGGAGGCAGGCACUGUUGUCAUCCCCACUUCACAUGCACAGAGACUGAGGCUCAGAGAGAUGGAGUCACUAGGCCAAAGCCAUGCAGGUGGUGUGGGACCUGAUCCAGCUCCCUCUGGCUCAGAACCCCAUGCUCUUCCUACUGGUCCUCUCCUUGCCUCGUUUACCUGCUAUAGACUUUCCAGCACUUCACAAGCCCUCAAGGGAAGGAUGUGUUUCUGAGUCCCGGUUUCCCCAACACAUUAAUUUUCUCUGCAUUAUUUCCCUGUUCUAAAACUGGCACUAGGCGUCCAUGUAAACUCCUCUGCCUAAAAUAUCAAGCUUUCCUGUAAUUUCUUUUUAGCACCACUUCUCCUUUCUCUAGAAACCCUGUGCUUUAUCUAUUCCCUACCCAGGAAUUAUUAUUUUUUUGGUUCAACAGGAAGGCAGGAUGACUUCAAAGAUCUGCUAGUGCACCUGGAUUCUGGUUUUCUUACUAUUCAGCUUCAUGACCUUGAACAAACUUUACUCAGCUUGGCUGUGCCUCAGUUUAGUCAUCUGGAAAGGAAGGGGAUAGGACUAUAACUAAAUAUAAUUCUAGAUCAUUUUAAGUAUCAUCUGUGCACUCACGCAAUAUGUGCAUGGAACGUGGAGGCGAGAGUACAAAAGGCAUGGUGCUUGCCUAUCGACAUGAGGCCCCUACAACCCAGGGAAGGCCCGGUGGUCCAGGAUCCAGUGCUGCUCCCCAUGUGCCCAUCUCACAUGCUGCUCGGCACCAGCAGCCAUCACCACUCCACUUCUCUCAAGAGAUGGAGGAAGGAGGUCCCAAGCCAAGGAAUGCAGCAUGGGCCUCUAGAAGCUGGAAUGACCCUCACCUCACGGCCAGCAAGAAAUCAGGGAACUCAGUCUUACCCGAGUGAGCAGGAAAUCGAUUCUCCUCUGCAGCCUCUAUAGAGAACACAGCCUGUCAACACCCUGAUUUUGGCCCAAUGAGCCCUGUACCUCCAGAAGUGUAACGUAAUAAAUUUGUGUUGUUUUAAGCUAUUAAGCUGUGGUUAAUUUGUUAUGGCGCCAAGAGAAAACUAACAUGACACAUACUUCUCUAUAUAUUCUUCCCUUCUAGAAUUACCUCUUCCCAAUUUUCCUUUUUUUUUUUUUUUUUUUUAGACAAGGUCUCCCUCUGUCACCCAGGCUGGAGUGCAGUGGCACUAUCUUGGCUCACUGCAGCCUCCACCUCCUGGGUUCCAGCAAUUCUCAUGCCUCAGCCUCCCGAGUAGCUGGGAUUACAGGUAUCUGCCACCAUGCCCAGCUAAUUUUUUGUGUUUUUAGUAGACAGGAUUUCGCCAUGUUGGCCAGGCUGGUCUCGAACUCCCGGCCUCAGGUGAUCUGCCCACCUCGGCCUCCCAAAGUGCUGGGAUUACAAGUGUGAGCCACCACUCCUGGCCCCAAUUUUCCAAUUCUACUAGUCUCAAACUCUGUUUUCUGUCCACUUCAAGUCAAUCAAGCGAUGGCUCUCUGCAGCUGGAGCUGCUCACUGAUUGGGGGUUGCCCUCAUGUCAAAAGCCAUAAACUCACAAAUCCCAACAAUUUUCAUUCAUUUUUCAAGGGUGGUUUUCCUACAGUUUCUGCCUUCUUUUGAUCAAUCUCUAAUACCUUCACACAUUAUUUUAAAAAUGCUUUGCUCAGAUUGUAUAAUUUUUAUUUUAUUUUAUUUAUUUUUUUUGAGACAGAGUCUUACUCUGUCGCCCAGGUGGUGCACCACCUCGCCCACCUAAUUUUUUUCUCUUGUUUGGUAUUUCUAGUAGAGACGGGGUUUCACCAUGUUGACCAGACUAGUCUCAAACUCUUGACCUUAAGUGAUUCGCCUGCCUUGGCCUUCCUAAGUGCUGGGAUUACAGGAGUAAGCCACGGAGCCCAGCCAGAUUGUAUAACUUUUAUCUGCAAGAAGAUUAGUCCACCGUUACCAAAAGCUGGAACCUCAUUAUACUCUUCUGCCUACUUUCACGUUUGCAAUUUUCCAUAAUUUAAAAAGAGAAAAAAAAUUUUAAACGCUCUAGUGGGAUGUUUUAAUUUUACUUAUUCUCAUUAAUCUGAAGCCUAAAAAUGAGUUGCUAUCUCUUAAUGUGACAGUUGAAAUAAAAGAAACGGAAUAAAAGGGGGAGUUUUCGAAGCCUUUGAUGGGGGAGGAAAGACCCCAAGCUUCUCUCCUUAGAGGGAAGGAAUCCUUACUUACAGGUUAGUUCCACCACGUGCAGUUCCUCACAGUGACCAGCAGGGGGAAAAAGUAGUUUUGCGUUUCCGAUGGAUCCCUGCGCCCCGCUGCCAAUUCCCCAAGCAAAGGGAAGCGAGGGGAGAGCGCGGAGCCCCCGAUUAGCGUUCGGAGGAACUGGCCUAGAGGGGCCACUCGGAGCGCAAAGGCCCCGCGAAAUAGAAUAUCUAUACGCCCAGCAACCCUCCCUUUCGAGGCGCACGGAAUAAGUUGGCUGGAACUCUCCGCUGACCGCUCCGCCUGGGACUCAGGGUUGCAGCCGCACAGAGCUUCCUCCGGGGCGCCCAGGGCGGCGCGAGCAGGAGGGGGACCCAGUGUGGCCGCGCCCGGGAACUCGGGGGACCAGGUGAGGCUGCGCCCGGGUCCCAGUGGGAUCCAGAUGAGCGUACGCCCAAGCCCGCGGGGGACCAGGUGAGCCCGCGCCCGGGUCUGAGUGGGAUCCAGUGAGCAGUGGCAGUUUGGGAGUCUGGGCUCAUGGAAUGCCCACAUGAUCGCAUCAUGAUCGCAUCUGGUUCACAUGAUCGCAUCAUCGCCCAACAUGGGGUGGGACUUAGACUGCCUCCCUGGGGCAAGGGCAGCUCGAGAGAAAAAGCAGCAGGUGCUUUGGAAGAUAGGCUUUCAAUUCCUUCGAGGCUGCAACUUAACUCAAGAGACAGUUCCUCCCAUGGAAGCGACUGAAUCCUGUUUUUCAACACUUGUAAAGCCAGUUUCAUCCUGUCACUCUGAGAGACAUCAGCACCUACCACCCAGCACUUCCGCUUCAGAGGUUUGAGUUCCAGACCCACUGGGCUCUUGUCCAAGCUCAGAGACAUCAGCACCAACUGGCCAGUACCCUCUCCUCAAAGGUCUGGGCCCCUGUCCCUCUGAGCAGCUCAGAAACACCAGUGCCAGUGGAAGCAGCUUGCCCUCUUGUGACUGAGGAGGAGAAAUGUGGCCUACUUGAAGAACAGGACACUGGCACUUCUCAGCAUGCCACUUAUUUUUAUCUUAACAACACUGUGAACCAG